GACAGAGGGCGCAACCGUUGUUCGGAAUUACUGGGCGUAAAGCGCGUGUAGGCGGCUCUGCAAGUCGGAUGUGAAAGCCCUGGGCUCAACCUAGGAAGUGCACUCGAAACUGCAGAGCUUGAGUCUCGGAGAGGAUCGCGGAAUUCUCGGUGUAGAGGUGAAAUUCGUAGAUAUCGAGAGGAACACCGGUGGCGAAGGCGGCGAUCUGGACGAUGACUGACGCUGAGACGCGAAAGCGUGGGGAGCAAACAGG
rnacentral:rRNA from 1 species